rnacentral:rRNA from 1 species
UGGCGGACGGGUGAGUAAUGUCUGGGAAACUGCCCGAUGGAGGGGGAUAACUACCGGAAACGGUAGCUAAUACCGCAUAACGUCGCAAGACCAAAGAGGGGGACCUUCGGGCCUCUUGCCAUCGGAUGUGCCCAGAUGGGAUUAGCUAGUAGGUGGGGUAACGGCUCACCUAGGCGACGAUCCCUAGCUGGUCUGAGAGGAUGACCAGCCACACUGGAACUGAGACACGGUCCAG